CCUACGGGUGGCUGCAGUGGGGUAUAUUGGACAAUGGGCGCAAGCCUGAUCCAGCAAUGCCGCGUGUGUGAAGAAGGCCUGCGGGUUGUAAAGCACUUUAAGCAGGAAAGAAGGGGUGAAAGUUAAUACCUGUCAUCAUUGACGUUACCUGCAGAAUAAGCACCGGCUAACUCCGUGCCAGCAGCCGCGGUAAUACGGAGGGUGCGAGCGUUAAGUGGAAUUAGCGGGGGCAGUUCGCGCGUAGGCUGGUGAAAGCCCUGGGCUUAACCUGGGAACUGCGGUGGAUACUGUCGGGCUAGAGUGUGGUAGAGGGGAGUGGAAUUUCCGGUGUAGCAGUGAAAUGCGUAGAGAUCGGAAGGAACACCAGUGGCGAAGGCGGCUCCCUGGACUAACACUGACGCUGAGGUGCGAAAGCGUGGGGAGCAAACAGGAUUAGAUACCCCUGUAGUC
rnacentral:rRNA from 1 species